rnacentral:rRNA from 1 species
GAAUUNNAUGGGCGCAGCCUGAUGCAGCAACGCCGCGUGCGCGAUGAAGGCCUUCGGGUCGUAAAGCGCUUUUCUGGAGGAGGAGCAAGGACCGUACUCCAGGAAUAAGGCUCGGCUAACUACGUGCCAGCAGCCGCGGUAAAACGUAGGAGCCAAGCGUUAUCCGAAUUCACUGGGCGUAAAGCGCGUGCAGGCGGACUGAUAAGUUGGAUGUGAAAGCUCCUGGCUCAACUGGGAGAGGACGUUCAAUACUGUUGGUCUAGAGGGCAGCAGAGGGAGGUGGAAUUCCCGGUGUAGUGGUGAAAUGCGUAGAUAUCGGGAGGAACACCAGUGGCGAAGGCGGCCUCCUGGGCUGCACCUGACGCUCAGAUGCGAAAGCUAGGGGAGCGAACGGGAUUAGAAACCCCGGUAGUCCUAGCUGUAAACGAUGUAGACUGGGUGUUGGUGGGAUAAAAUCCAUCAGUGCCGAAGCCAACGCGAUAAGUCUACCGCCUGGGGACUACGGCCGCAAGGUUAAAACUCAAAGAAAUUGACGGA